UACAGGGGGUGCAAACGUUGCUCGGAAUCACUGGGCGUAAAGCGCACGUAGGCGGAUAUGUCAGUCAGGGGUGAAAUCCCGGGGCUCAACCUCGGAACUGCCCUUGAUACGGCAUGUCUUGAGUCCGAUAGAGGUGGGUGGAAUUCCUAGUGUAGAGGUGAAAUUCGUAGAUAUUAGGAAGAACACCAGUGGCGAAGGCGGCGAUCUGGGAAGAUACUGACGCUGAGGUGCGAAAGCGUGGGGAGCAAACAGG
rnacentral:rRNA from 1 species